GACGAACGCUGGCGGCGUGCUUAACACAUGCAAGUCGAACGGAGUGGCGAACGGGUGAGUAACACGUGGGUGAUCUGCCUUGCACUUCGGGAUAAGCUUGGGAAACUGGGUCUAAUACCGGAUAGUGCAAGAUGAGCUCGCGGCCUAUCAGCUUGUGGGUGGGGUAAUGGCCUACCAAGGCAGCGACGGGUAGCCGGCCUGGGAGGGUGUACGGCCACAUUGGGACUGAGAGACGGCCCAGACUCCAACGGGAGGAAGCGGUGGGAAAUAUUGAACAAUGGGCGGAAGCCUGAUGCGGCGACGCCGCGUGGGGUAUGAAGGCCUUCGGGUUGUAAACUCCUUUAGACAGGGACGCGGUACCUGUAUAAGAAGCACCGGCUAACUACGUGCCAGCAGCCGCGGUAAUAC
rnacentral:rRNA from 1 species